UACGUAGGGUGCGAGCGUUAAUCGGAAUUACUGGGCGUAAAGGGUGAGUAGGCGGAAAUAUAAGUUAGAUGUGAAAAGCCUGAGCUUAACUUAGGUCGUGCAUUUAAGACUGUAUAUCUAGAGUUAGUUAGAGGGGGUAGAAUUCCAAGUGUAGCAGUGAAAUGCGUAGAGAUUUGGAGGAAUACCGAUGGCGAAGGCAACCCCUGGGAUGAACUGACGCUGAGUCACGAAAGCGUGGGGAGCAAACAGG
rnacentral:rRNA from 1 species